AUAUGCUGUGAUGUCAGGUACCGAACUCCCUUGUGCGGUUGAAUGGUCAGACGCUUCCCGAGAAUCUUGCGAUACGAAGUAUGAUCUGUAUCAAUCGUAAGAGACGGUGGCAAUAGAUAAAUGCAGGUAUCGAUGUAAGCUACGACGAGCAUGCAGAGUUUUAUCAGCGAAGUAGGAUCAAAGCAAUCAGACGUCGUAGUCAUCUAUAACUAGCGACUAGAUGAGUGGCUCAACACAUCAGUACUAUGAGAAAUCAAAGUUUGUCGGGGGAGAUUGUCGCAAGACUGAACCUGAAAGAGAGUGGACGGAGGCACCCACCAGAGGUGGAGCCUGCGCUAAUUGAACUCAACACACAGAGGAAACUACCAGUCCGCUGUAAGUGCUGGUUGGUGUGCGUGGGUCUUGCUACUUGGGUGUGGUGCAUGCCGUCCUAGUGGUGGAGUGAUUGUCUGGUUAAUUCCGAUAACGAACGAGACCUUAACCUGCUAACUAGAUCGAUCAACUUUGGUCGUAUCUCAUAAAGAAGUAACAUAAAUACAUGGAAGUUGAGGCAAUAACAGGUCAGUGAUGCCCUUAUAUGUCCUGGGCUGCACGCGUGCUACACUGAUGUAUACAACAAGUGCCUAGCCAGACAUGGCAUGGCAAUCUCGAAUAUGCAUCGUGAUGGGGAUAGAUCUUUGCAAUUAUAGAUCUUGAACGAGGAAUUCCUAGUAAGUGCAAGUCAUCAUGGUGAGAAAGAAUUAUGUCCUGCCCUUGUACACACCGCCCGUCGCUCCUACCGAUACCGGGUGAUCCGGUGAACCAGGUGGACCCUGUUGGAAAAUAAGUAAAUCAAUCACCGAGAGGAGAGGAGACGCUUGACAAGUAAUCUAGAUGCACUCGCGAGUACGAGCUCGAUCACUGCGUGCCU
rnacentral:rRNA from 1 species